rnacentral:rRNA from 1 species
GACGAACGCUGGCGGCGUGCUUAACACAUGCAAGUCGAACGGUGUAGCUCCAGCUUGCUGGCGUGGAUCAGUGGCGAACGGGUGAGUAACACGUGAGCAACCUGCCCCAGACUCUGGAAUAAGCGCUGGAAACGGCGUCUAAUACUGGAUACGAGAUCAAGCCGCAUGGUUAUGGUCUGGAAAGGUUUUCGGUUUGGGAUGGGCUCGCGGCCUAUCAGCUUGUUGGUGAGGUAAUGGCUGACCAAGGCGACGACGGGUAGCCGGCCUGAGAGGGCGACCGGCCACACUGGGACUGAGACACGGCCCAGACUCCUACGGGAGGCAGCAGUGGGGAAUAUUGCACAAUGGGCGAAAGCCUGAUGCAGCGACGCCGCGUGAGGGAUGACGGCCUUCGGGUUGUAAACCUCUUUCAGCAGGGAAGAAGCGAAAGUGACGGUACCUGCAGAAGAAGCACCGGCUAACUACGUG